rnacentral:rRNA from 1 species
UACAGAGGGUGCGAGCGUUAUUCGAAAUUAUUGGGCGUAAAGAGCGAGCAGGUGGCACGUUAAGUCCUGUGUGAAAUCCCCGGGCUCAACCCGGGAAAGUCAUGGGAAACUGACGAGCUAGAGUGCAUGAGAGGAAAGCGGAAUUCCCAGUGUAGAGGUGAAAUUCGUAGAUAUUGGGAGGAACACCGGUGGCGAAAGCGGCUUUCUGGCAUGCUACUAACACUCAGUCGCGAAAGCGUGGGUAUCAAACAGG